AUUCCCAGACCUCCCUAUUUUUAGAUAAAUUUUUUUAUAUUUUUUUGGUAGGAAAAGAAGUCCUAAAACUCUUAGAAAAUGUAUUAAACACUUAGAAAUUUUUCUGACCAUCGGAUGGAGCUUAGACCGUCCAGAUCUGCCCAAAAUUUGAUGUUUAAAUCCUUAUCAGGGCCGGAUUCCACCACAGCUGGCUGAUCGUGCUCCAGAUUGAAUUCUGGCUG
rnacentral:lncRNA from 1 species